rnacentral:sRNA from 1 species
GGAGGUGGGGGCAAUCUGGCUGUCAUAUGUGUCACUCCAGUGACCACCAGGCUUGAUCCAGCUGAUUGGGCUGGCUAGGAGGGGGCCUACCUCUCUCAGUGCUCCACGUGUGUGAUACGCUGGGUCAGAGAAGACCACCCCAGAUAGAAGAGAGCCAUUCCUCAGGGAAGGCUUUACAUCCGAGCAGCUGUGCUCCCCUGCUAGAACCUCCUAGCAAACUCUCAGUUCUCUUCCCUG